AGUGGCGAACGGGUGAGUAACACGUGAGUAACUGCCCUUGACUCUGGGAUAACCUCCGGAAACGGAAGCUAAUACCGGAUAAGGAUGGACUCGCGGCCUAUCAGGUAGUUGGUGAGGUAACGGCUCACCAAGCCUACGACGGGUAGCCGGCCUGAGAGGGGACCGGCCACACUGGGCUGAGACACGGCCCAGACUCCUACGGGAGGCAGCAGUGGGGAAUAUUGCACAAUGGGCGCAAGCCUGAUGCAGCAACGCCGCGUGAGGGAUGACGGCCUUCGGGUUGUAAACCUCUUUUAGUAGGGAAGCGGUACCUGCAGAAAAAGCACCGGCUAACUACGUGCCAGCAGCCGCGGUAAUACGUAGGGUGCGAGCGUUGUCCGGAAUUAUUGGGCGUAAAGAGCUCGUAGGCGGUCUGUCGCGUCUGCUGUGAAAACCCGAGGCUCAACCUCGGGCCUGCAGUGGGUACGGGCAGACUAGAGUGCGGUAGGGGAGAAUGGAAUUCCUGGUGUAGCGGUGGAAUGCGCAGAUAUCAGGAGGAACACCGAUGG
rnacentral:rRNA from 1 species